CCUACGGGAGGCUGCAGUGGGGAAUAUUGGACAAUGGGGGCAACCCUGAUCCAGCCAUGCCGCGUGUGUGAAGAAGGCCCUCGGGUUGUAAAGCACUUUCAGUGAGGAAGAACGCCUGGUGGUUAAUACCCAUCAGGAAAGACAUCACUCACAGAAGAAGCACCGGCUAACUCCGUGCCAGCAGCCGCGGUAAUACGGAGGGUGCGAGCGUUAAUCGGAAUUACUGGGCGUAAAGCGCGCGUAGGUGGCUUGAUAAGCCGGUUGUGAAAGCCCCGGGCUCAACCUGGGAACGGCAUCCGGAACUGUCAAGCUAGAGUGCAGUAGAGGAAGGUAGAAUUCCCGGUGUAGCGGUGAAAUGCGUAGAGAUCGGGAGGAAUACCAGUGGCGAAGGCGGCCUUCUGGACUGACACUGACACUGAGGUGCGAAAGCGUGGGUAGCAAACAGGAUUAGAUACCCCUGUAGUC
rnacentral:rRNA from 1 species